AUUGAACAUUUAAUAUUUUGGAUGUAACUUUUGAAGAAAGUAUGCUUUGGUGCUUAAAAUUGUAUAUGAUUUUAGGUAAGAAACUUUGAUAAUAUUGGCAUAAUUUAGAUUUAUUUUCUUUCUUUUUUUUGAGACAGUCUCACUCAGUCGCCCAGGCUGAAGUGCAGUGACACAGUCUCAGCUCACUGCAACGUCUGCCUCCCAGAUUGAAGUGACUCUCGUGCCUCUGCCACAGAGUAGCUGGGAUUACAGGCAUGCACCACCACACACCGCUAAUUUUUUGUAUUUUUAGUAGAGACAGAGUUUCACCAUGUUGGCCAGGCUGCGAACUCCUGAGCUCAAGUGAUCCUCCCACCUCAGCUUCCCAAAGUGCUAGCAUUACAGGCAUGAGCCACCACACCUCACCAGAUUUUUAAAAAAUAUAUAACUGCAUCUCUCUUGAUUCUGGGGCUUGGUAAAAAUGGAUAGAUAAGAUAGUAUUCUAAAUUCAAAUUCGUGGCUAGGCACAGUGGCCCACACCUGUAAUCCCAGCACUUUGGGAUUCCAAGACAGAAGACUCACUUGAGUACAGUAUGAGACCAGCCUGGGCAACAUAGAUCUUGCCUCUACAAAAAAAAAAAAAAAUAGCCAGGUGUGGCACAUGCCUGUAGUCUCAGCUGCUUGGAAGGCUGAAAUGAGAGGAUCUCUUGAGCCCAGGAGGUCUAGGCCAGAGUGAGCUGUGAUCGUGCCAUUGCACUCCAGACUGAGUGACAGAGUGAGACUGUGUCUAAAAAAAAAGUUUGAAUUAAAAAAAAAAAAAAAAAAGUCGGCUGUGCACGGUGGCUCAUGCCUGUGAUCCCAGCACUUUCGGAGGCCAAAGUGGGUGGAUUACCUGAGGUCAGGAGUUUGAGACCAGCCUGACCAACAUGGUAAAACUCCAUCUCUACUAAAAAUACAAAAAUUAGCCUGGAAUAGUGGCGCAUGCCUGUAAUCCCAGCUACUUGUGAGGCUGAGGCAGGAGAAUCCCUUGAACCCAGAAGGCAGAGGUUGCAGUGAGCUGAGAUUGUGCCAUUGCACUCCAGCCUGGGCAACAUGAGCGAAACUCCAUCUCAAAAAAACAAAAACAAAAAACAAACUCAAAUUAGCAUGAUAGAUCAGGCUACUUAGAUUCAGCUUUCUGAGAUGUUAUUUGUUAACAUUAAGGCUAAUUUAUUAUAAUGAAAAUGUAAACUUUGAGGUAUGUUAAUAUAUAAACAUCUUUUUCCUUUGGCCUAAAAGGUCUUUAGUAUUCAGCACACUGGGUAAAGUUCAGUUUAGACACAAUCAAAUUGGCAUCUUUUAAACAUAAGUGAAAUAUAGAGAGCUUGAACUUGAGUUACUUAAAGAAGAUACAGUAUAAUUAAUUAUACAGAACAAAACAAAGAUGUGUUUAGAGUGACUCUGGCCUGACUCUUGUCCAUCAGCCCCUAGUAGCCUAUCUUCAGCCUUUGGGAAGUCUUAACUUCCCAGGUUAAACUAGAAUAUUCUGGAACUGAGCUGUCCAAAUUUCAUCUUAAAGUGGAUCAUUUGACUCUGAAACACGAUUCUCAUGGCAGAAAAAGCCCUGGUGUUUCCUUGGAGCUGGGGAUAAAGGCCAGUGAGCCAGCCUGUGAUGAGAGCUGCCCCUGGCACUAUCUGAGUGGAAAGCUCAUUGGGACAGCCAUGCAGCUAUCAGAGCCGACUGAAGCCCUGUCCCUUACCCCUCAGGCACCUGAUGCUUAACUUGCCUCCUGGGAAAUAAUGAUCUAGCAUUUACUUGGAACAAUGAUUAAUCAUGUUCUUUAAUAAUUGCUGACAUUUGUAUUUUAAGCUGUAUACCAAUGUUCGUAUUUGACAUUGAUUUUCUAACCAUUAGAGAUAUUUAAUUAAAACUUGGAAAUGAAAG
rnacentral:lncRNA from 1 species